rnacentral:lncRNA from 1 species
AGCGGAUGUGAUUUUCGUGAUGGGCUACAUAUUGCCAUAUGGAAUCUACGCAAUAUGCAGCAUUUGGGUUUGUCUGGCAAUCAAAUAACUAGAUAAAUUUUUCAAAAUUUAAGGAACCUCAGCCUUUAGACUUGUCCUAAAACCAAAUUACUGUAGAUAUUUUGGAAAUAUUAGCCACAGUUGGUCAACACUUAAAGUAUUUAUAUCUAUCGGGUAAUAAUAUUGU